GUGGGUGGCAUUAGAGGCCAAUUUAAUUCAUUAAAACUGCAAAAACAAAUCUAGAAAAAAAAAAUAAAAUAGAAAGAAGCAUUUUUCUGCCAGCUUAGUGUCAUAACUCAUCAUGUGAUCAGAUGAGCAUCAGACUGACGCAAAGGAGGAAAAGAUCAAGCAGCUGGGAGCAGAGUCAAAGGAAAGAACAGAGUAGGCAGGAGACUGACUGCCACCUCCUGCUUUUACGAGAAGCAAGCCCUCAGUUUAGCUCAGCUGUAACAUAAAACCAUAUCCUAGGUAUAUAUACCCUGACUAAGUGUCACUGCUACGUGAGGACAGAGCUCAAGGCAACUCUUGAAAUGAAUGAACAAAGUACAGCUCAGUACAACAUCAUCAGGCUUUCUGCUGAUUUAAACGGGCAUCACUACACCAAAUUCUGUUUAUAGAUCAGCAGACAAAGUAAAGGCUGGAGUCUGCAAACACUGAAGUCAAUGUGAGGUCUGUCCCUGCCAGAUCUACAGGAGCAGCCCAUAUGUCUCACAGGAUGGGAAAUGGUAACAUUGUGACUACACCACAGGAAAUGACAGCAACUUGGUAAUAUGGUGUCUGGGAACUCAGCUGAGGUCUGUAUGACAAUGAGCAGCUACUUUACAUGGACACUUAUGACACUGGUAGAUGCUGAAGGUCUCUGCUCCAGGAUACCAAACAGUCUGGGAGCCCUGAGAAGCAGAAGUACAGCCUGCAGUCUGUCCCAGGUGGGAUGGAGAAGGGACUUCGGUCACUGACCCUCAAGCAACUGACUUCAUGUCUUGUAUUAUUUACUUUGAAAAAUUUGGUCUUUUUUUUUUUUUUUUUUUUUUUUUAAUGUUAGCCCAGUUUUCUAUAUUGAAGAUUAAUCACAACUUGUCAGUGUAACAUGGACGAACUCAAAUGUAGCGUUUUCCAAACUCACCUUUCAUGACUUCAUGUUAACAUCAACCCAAGAACAUCCCAGACAUUUCCCUGUGUGCUUUACUGCUUCAGUGCUAAUGUCCACCAUCUAUAUCUUAUAAUAACUGCUACAUGACACCAUGCUUAAUAUAUGACCUCUUUUUAGAUGAGAUCCAUCACAUUUCUUUUGUUUAUAAAAUCUAUUAUCCGAUCAAAGAUACCAGGCUUUUCUACUGUGAUCAAUCCAUAUUGCAUCAUAUUACAUUUUCUAUUUACUCACGUCUUUAAUUAUUAACAUCUGUCCAUUUAGUCUAGCAUUUUUUGUGUAAUCUUAAAAUCAGACUACAAUUUCUUCAGGUAUUCAGUUUGAUUUUUUUUCCUGAAAUACUGUAUGUGCUGCUUUCCAACCAGGCAGUAACUGUGUAGGUUUAUUCAGAAUACCUGCUGUUACACCUGCUGUUUCAUCUGCUCUCCAAAUCCUUAUCUUCAUUGCCAGUCUUGUCUUUGCCCCUACUUUCUACACUAUUGCCUUCCUUGAAAUGUACUGGCUGGCAUAGUAGGACACAACUAAGACCUCUCUCUAUUGUAAGGGUUUUUUUCUCCAUUCAGUACCUGGUAAUUCCAGCAUGCCCCGUAGUGACAAGGGGCUUCUCAUGGGAAUGAUGGCAGUAUUUUUCUCUAAUAAUAUUCUAAAUAUCUCCACCCACAAUCAUCAAAAUUUUACAUAAUGACUUCAACCAAAGUCACAAAAUUGGUGUUAUACUAUCAAAUAGAACUCAACACAGUUACAAACUAGCACUACACAACACAUUUACUACACCUUAACUAAUAUAGUUGCAUAAAUGGUGUGCCAGUUUUUCUCUGAUAUCUCCAUGAGUUUGCCAGUGAAAGCCAGAGACAUAUAUGAGUAAUUCAUUUCUCUUAAAAUCAGUCUUCAAAUCUCCUUGUUUCUCCACUGCUGAA